AAAAAUGAGGAAAGGUCAAGGCGGGGCAGUGACUAUGGUUCCUUAGGUCGUAUUUGAUGGCCAGGUAAAAUUUUAGGCUAUCGGGGGCCGGGGUCUAGGGACCACUUUGAAGGCAUGGUAUAGCACACGAAAAUAUGGGAAUCGGGCGGAAUUCUAGUUUUUUGGCCAAAAAAAGCAAAAAAUGAGGAACGAUCAUGGCGGGGCGGUGACUAUGGUUCCCUAGGUCGUAUUUGAUGGCCCGAAAAAAUUUUAGGCGAUCCGAGUCAGGGGGCCCGGCCCACUCGGAAGGCGUGGGCUAUAGCACACGGAAAAUAUGGGAAUCGGGCGGAAUUCUAGUUUUUUGGCCGAAAAAUGUAAAAAAUGAGGAACGAUCAUGGCGGGGCGGUGACUAUGGUUCCUUAGG
rnacentral:lncRNA from 1 species